AAGGAAUAUUGGUCAAUGGACGCAAGUCUGAACCAGCCAUGCCGCGUGAAGGAUGAAGGUCCUCUGGAUUGUAAACUUCGUUUAUCUGGGACGAAAACGGGAUUUUUAUCUCAAUUGACGGUACCAGAGGAAUAAGCACCGGCUAACUCCGUGCCAGCAGCCGCGGUAAUACGGAGGGUGCGAGCGUUAUCCGGAUUUACUGGGUUUAAAGGGUGCGUAGGUGGGCUUAUAAGUCAGUGGUGAAAUCUCCGAGCUUAACUUGGAAACUGCCGUUGAUACUAUAGGUCUUGAAUUAUCUGGAGGUAAGCGGAAUAUGUCAUGUAGCGGUGAAAUGCUUAGAUAUGACAUAGAACACCAAUUGCGAAGGCAGCUUACUACAUAUAAAUUGACGCUGAGGCACGAAAGCGUGGGGAUCAAACA
rnacentral:rRNA from 1 species